UAAUACGUAGGGAGCAAGCGUUGUCCGGAAUUACUGGGCGUAAAGGGUGCGUAGGCGGCUUAAUAAGUCAGAUGUGAAAGGCUGGGGCUCAACCCCAGAGCUGCAUUUGAAACUAUUAGGCUUGAGUGCAGGAGAGGCAAGUGGAAUUCCUAGUGUAGCGGUGAAAUGCGUAGAUAUUAGGAGGAACACCAGUGGCGAAGGCGACUUGCUGGACUGUAACUGACGCUGAGGCACGAAAGCGUGGGGAGCAAACAGG
rnacentral:rRNA from 1 species